rnacentral:rRNA from 1 species
AUUGAACGCUGGCGGCAUGCCUUACACAUGCAAGUCGAACGGCAGCACGGGUGCUUGCACCUGGUGGCGAGUGGCGAACGGGUGAGUAAUACAUCGGAACAUGUCCUGUAGUGGGGGAUAGCCCGGCGAAAGCCGGAUUAAUACCGCAUACGAUCUACGGAUGAAAGCGGGGGCCCUUCGGGCCUCGCGCGAUAGGGUUGGCCGAUGGCUGAUUAGCUAGUUGGUGGGGUAAAGGCCUACCAAGGCGACGAUCAGUAGCUGGUCUGAGAGGACGACCAGCCACACUGGAACUGAGACACGGCCCAGACUCCUACGGGAGGCAGCAGUGGGGAAUUUUGGACAAUGGGCGAAAGCCUGAUCCAGCAAUGCCGCGUGUGUGAAGAAGGCCUUCGGGUUGUAAAGCACUUUUGUCCGGAAAGAAAUCCUUGGGCCUAAUACGGUCGGGGGAUGACGGUACCGGAAGAAUAAGCACCGGCUAACUACGUG